rnacentral:misc_RNA from 1 species
AGGACAGAAUAUUUUUUCUUGUCCAGCAUAUUUGCAAUCAUUUGAUACAGAUAAGGGAAACAUGGUCGUUGGCUCUAUACAUCUCUUUACGCCUCUCUACAUGUGUUGAAUAUUCAUGAGAGAUAGAAUAAUGAAAAAUAAUACUGUGAAGAAGUGAUGCAUGUACUUUAUUAUUUAUUACGAGACUACUGUGUGUUUUAAUAUACUGUUUGCCCAUGUUUUCUGACAUGAAGAUUAAUUUGUGAAUUGCGUUGGGUAAUGGUCAGGCUAUUUUGUCCAACAAAAGAUGCAGACUUUAAAUGAAUUCAUUGCAAGAGAGAGAGAGAGAGAGAGAGAGAGAGAGAGAGAGAGAGAGAGAGAGAGAGAUCCAAGAAAGAUAAGUCAGUAAAAGUACCCUAAUCUUGUUUGAUCUGGCAAGAGGGCAUUAAGUUGAUUGAAAAUUGUAUCUCAGUCAGCAGGACCUGCUAAGUUCUCUAAGAGCAACAUUAAAUCAAUCGCAUCUACUGGAGGAAUCAACCUGUACACCCGCCACAAAGAAGGAUGUCAAUAAAUAAUUAAUUUGUUGGUGAGCAAGAUGUAUAGAUUUUGUCAUCCACACCAAGGACAGAAAUCUGGUUUGCCUUGUCAACCGCUGGGUGAUCAGAUUGAUUUUUUUCCCUCUCUCUCCCAAUUUUUCAGGAUCUAUCAGACAGCAGUCAUUGAAAGUGUAGAUUACUAAUUGGCAUGGUAUCAUAAUAAUUAUAGACUGAUUCCUAAGCUGUAAUUGGCUCAGUUAACAGUCCAAAAAGUCUCCAUGUAAUCGCCUACCACUCGAGGCGGCUGGAAAUCAGGCCUUACACAGCUGCUGUAAUUUCAUUGUUGUGAAUAAAUCAUUUUAUCUAAUUUGGUAAUUGCUUUUUACAUGCUAAUAAGCUGCAGUAAUUAAUGUUUAAUUGAUUCAUGAAUUUCUCUGUUUUUGCAGUUUAUUCCAUUAUAUUGCUAUUUAAUGUUGAGCAGUCUAAUAAAACAACUUGUAAAUUGCGGCUUUAAGACCUCUGUGCUUGGGAAUCCAGGAAAUAAAUCCAGUUAAACAUUUGGAAAAUGGGAUGAUUGUCUCAAGAGACAGAUUUGCAAGAGCUUGUAGGACAUUGCACAACAACGAAAUUUAAAUUUUCGUCUCUUCACAUUUAAAACCCAAUAAACAAUGUCUGAAUGAAGAACCUCGUUAAAUUUCAUACAGCUGUGCAGACAAGGCAUUACAAUAAUAUGAUAGAGACUUUUCCUUUAUUUAGAGAAAAAAACUUUCUGUAUGGAAAGUAUCGACUUGCUUGCAUUUUCUCAGAUCUCCAGUCGCUCUCUUUGUUGUCUGUUUUGACUUAGAUGAGAGUAGACAAGGCAUUAUAGGGCAUGCUAGAGUUUACAGACUUAAACAUUUCACAUCAGGGUUACUGACACAACAUCACUUCUGUGUUUCAGAUUUGAUUACGGAGAAAAGUUCUGGAUUAUUAAGUGGAAGCAAUUUACGUGUGCCUGCAAUUCGCCUAAGUGUAAAUACUCCAAAGACACGAUCCAAAAGACGCUACAAGAGUAUCGACAGAGACACGAAGAGGAUGAACCAAUAGACUGAACACCACCACUCAGCCCCUGGGGUGUCCCACCAUUAUAAACCAAAUUACCUAAAACAGAGAGGGACCUUAGUAUGGUGACUGAAGGGUGGAUGAUGACGAUGAUUAAUUCAGUAAAUUGUACAUUUUGCAAAAUACAAGUUUGUCCAUUUUAUAGAAGUACUGUGUACUUUUUUGAGAGUACAUUAUAGCAGGGUUAUUUUUAUUUGUUUGUUUGUAGUUUUAUAAAAAGCAGAUUAUAACAAGAAUUUGAAAUGCUCUUAUUUAAAGGAAGGCUUAAGAGUAUCAGUGAUAUAUGAGUGAGUAUUAAUGAACAGAUUGUGAAUCUGAUAUAAAGUGAAUGUGGCAAUUUAUACCUGUAUUUCUCUGGCCUUAGUACAAUGUGUAAUGUGAAAGGUGUCAGUUUCUAUGAUGAGAAGUGUUGGUGUUAUUAUGUAUAUACCAGAGUGUGGUAAUGUUAUUUGAAGCUAGCACUUGGUCUUCUUGUCUCUGUACAGUAUAUUAUAUGGUUCGAACAUGGCUUAUCUAUGCCGUGAUGACACAAAUAGAGUAUUUUGGGGUCAUAAAUGUGUUAAAUGCACAAAAUAUUGUGAGAGACUGAUGUAUUAUUGUAUAACAGGGCGUAUUUUAAAAUUUUGGAAUGCAUGGUUUUGACUUAAAGAAACAGUUUUUAUAAGUCACAUUUUGAUUGAAAAACUUGACAAAAAAUCAUGGAAAUGUAUGUCACUACAUAUAUAAUUAAUGUUGAUAAUUUUGAGAGUUUGGUGUACAUAUGACACGUGUAUUUUGUGACUUAUUUAUUGAGUAGGAAAAUAUUUUUCAUUUUACUCUUAAACUUAACUGUUUUUGGAUGCUCAGAUUUUUAAAUUUUAGAGUAUAUAACUUAUUCUUUUACUUAUGAAGUUAUGAGUGAAAAAUAUAUGAGAACAAUUUACAUGUAUACCUUUAUACUUUGGAAAGAAAAUAUGUUUUUACAUGGUCAUGUCAAUCUUAGUGGAUUAAAAAUUCAUCCAAUGAUUAUUCCUCAAUAAAGCCAUGUGACUAAAAAUGGGAAGUGCUAAACUAUAGAUUUAGAACUAGUGAGAGGCUUUGGGUUGAGGAAGGCAAGACAGACAUUGUAUAUAAUGACACGGUCAGCAUUGGAGGUGUUCUAUUGUUUAUGAUGAAAUGGAAUGCAGUAUAGGGACAAUUCAUGUAAUUAGGAUUCAUUUUAAUUUUGCUGUACUCUCUACUUUUCAUUAAAUGCUCAUAUAAUG